GAUAAACGCUGACAGAAUGCUUAACACAUGCAAGUCGAUGAUGGGAGCUAGCUUGCUAGAAGAAGUCAUGGCGGACGGGUGAGUAACGUGUAAAGAACUUACCAUAUAGACUGGGAUAACAGAGGGAAACUUCUGAUAAUACUGGAUAAGUUAGUAGUAGCAUUACUAAGUAAUGAAAGGUAGCAAUACGCUAUAUGAGAGCUUUGCAUCCUAUUAGCUAGUUGGUGGGGUAAAAGCCUACCAAGGCGAUGAUAGGUAGCCGGCCUGAGAGGGUGGACAGCCACAAGGGGACUGAGAUACGGCCCUUACUCCUACGGGAGGCAGCAGUGGGGAAUAGUGGACAAUGGAGGCAACUCUGAUCCAGCAAUUCUGUGUGUGUGAAGAAGGUUUUAGGACUGUAAAACACUUUUAGUAGGGAAGAAAGAAAUGACGGUACCUACAGAAGAAGCGACGGCUAAAUACGUG
rnacentral:rRNA from 1 species